rnacentral:misc_RNA from 1 species
GUAUUUGAAUUAAGUAUUCAUACAGGUUUUCAGACAAAGUUGUUAAAAAUAAGAGUUGAUGUUUACAUCCUGUAGCGCAAAUGACAAGCAUUCGCGUUACAAGACAACAUUGCACACAAGGUGGAUAUGGAUUGAAAAAGUGCCAUAAAACACUUAUUGUGAAUGAUCCUUCCGCAGGUUCACCUACGGAAA